ACAGUAUAUAAUACAUACAUGAAAUAUGUGGUAAUUGACUAUUUAGGUUAUCUGUAAGGCUUCCAGUCAACAGGCUAUUAGACACAUCUGAGGGGAGUCAGAAGUUAUACAUGGCUUUUCGACACGGAGAGUUGUUGCUCUUGACCCCUGCCAUUAUUCAAGGGUCAACUGUAUAAUCAUUUAUCAGAUUACACUAAUUGGGAAGCUCAUUAUAUCCACUCUAUCCCAAAUCACCCUCAGGUCUUCUGCCUUUAAUAACUAAUUAUUAAAUAGACAUUUAGUAGGUCAUGCAGGGUGAAAGAGGAGUACCAAAGGAGACUGAAAACCUAAGUGGAUGGAGAAGCUGGAGAGUGACAAGACAUCUUCAACAUCUGCUUCUCACUCUUUAACGUGCACGUGAAUCAAACAGAUCCUGCGAAGAUACUGGUUCUAAUUCAUUAGGUUUAGGGGUGGAAGCAACAUAGGCAUUUUUUUUUUUUUGAGCUUCCGGGUCAUGUCAGUGCUACUGGUCCAUGGACCUCACUUUGAGUUACAAAGUCUUCAGAGUCAAUUUAGUACAAAUCUUUACCCACGGCUGGAAACCGCAUUGCAACAGCCCUGAUGAGUCAUUAGAAGCCUCUGAGGGAAGACCUAUCGAGUGAUUCACCUCCUCCUCCUUUGUGGAGUAAGUCUAAUUGUUGGAACAGUUUUUCUUGUCCCUAGACGCUAUCUGGGAAAUUUCUAUGCAUUGGUCCUUGUUCUAUUUCUGGAACCACAGAGAUAAUGAACCUGAUCUCUCUUUCUCAUGACAGCCAUUUGGAAAUUUGAAGAGUAUUUUUAUAUUUCCCUUAAUUCUUUUCAGUACAUUAAAUCUCAUCUCCUUUUGCUGUUAAUCAUAGGACCCUCUGGGCUGUCCUGGGAAUCUGUUCUUUAAGUGUACCUCCUAUAAUUGAGCACAGCAGUCUUGCUUUGUCUAAACAUCAGAGAGUAAGAUGGGCCUAUUACUUACUUGGCUGUUGAUUUUCUGCUUCUGCUAGAGUCCUCCAUCAUCUUGGCCUGUUGACUACUCUUUGGGUGUCACUGCUUGUAAGCCCCUCUUAGUGAACAGAGCUAGAGAAUAUAUGUAUGCUUACAUGUACGUGUAUGUCUAUGUAUUUUCUCAUUUGUCCAUCCAUUCUUCUGUCCAUCCAUACAUCCAUAGAAACCUCUGAGUUCAGCAUGAUAGAUUUACUCCAAUCCAGUUGCAUAGGUAGAUUGUAGUUUUCUCCCUUUCCAUGUUUACAACUCCCUUCCCUGGAAGUAAGAAAAACCUGCCUUCUCAUAUCCUUAAGAUAGUUACCUUUGUGAUCAAACCCUUGGGUAAAACCAAUCGUCUAUCCAUUACCGCUGUCCUUGCCCUGUGCACACUUGCCUCACACCACUCACUUCCCAACACACUCCUACUUCUGGGACUCAGCUAAUAGUUUUUGGGCUGAACUAUUUGGGAAGGCAAGGGGAAAAGGAGGAGGAGGAGGAGGAGAAGUUGUUUUUUCUCUUUUGACUUGUAAAUGAGUGAAUUAUACUAAUAGGUUUUUCUAAUAUUGACUCAUCCUUGGACUCAUGCAUUGUGCCCUGCUUUGAUUUUUCUACUCUUUCAUUUAAGAUUUCUUGGUAAGUUAAUUUAUUUUGCUGAUCUGAAAAGGCUUUGUCAUGCAAGAAAUGUUCUUAGACAUUCCCUUAAUUUCAUUCUCUUUGAUUUCUACAGGGGGAAUAUAAAGAUUUCUCCUGACUUGUGUGAAUGUUUCCAGGGUCCUUUCUUUUGGAAAUGCUACAAGAUGGCUGUGUUUUCAGUGGUGGAAAUUAUCGAUAGGUCUCAAAAGCAAGGAAUCACAGAAUAUCUGCUUUCCAGUAGUGAUGUAUGACUCACCAAAGCCACAACAUUUUUUAUAAUACCCUUAGUUUUUUUCAUAGAAGCAGAACUGAGAUUCCUAAUAUUUCCUGGAAUUUUUUUUAAAAAGGAAGGAAAAAAAGAAUUCAAGGAGAUGUCCAUUUGUUAGCCCAUCACUGGCACGCAUCGGCGUUAAAGAGUAAUUGGUGGGGUGACUGGAAGGCUCCGAGUAGAAUUCUCUGAAGGGGCAUGCCUGUGUUGGCAGAGGAUGCUGGCUGUUGGCUGGGACUGCAGUUCGAUGGGGGUCAUUUGUCUCUCCAAGGUUCUGCAGGAAGGUGUGGGACUGGAAUAUUAAUGUGGCCAUUUUUGGAAAAGACAACCUGCUCCAAGAAAUUCUCACCUUUUCCAUGUCAUCUGUACCAGCUGUAGCUGCAGAGAAAAUGUGAAAAGUGAGCCAGAUUCUCUCAGCUGCCCAGCUGCAUCUUCCAGGCCUUUCUCCUGUCUUGUCUCCACAUAGCUACGUGAAUGAACUGAUCUCGCACCUCCAUGGCUGUAGAAUCUUCUGCAGCGUCCCAUCACGUUCAGGAUAAUAAUUUUCCAGGAAAGAAACUAAGAGCCCUGGUUGAGCUGCUCCCCCAAAGCCGGUACCGAUUUACUAGUCAUACAAGGGAGCCAUCUUGGAAGCAAAUCCUCAAUUAAUCCUCAAGCAAAGCCCUCAGUUAAUCACCAGCAACCACCAACUACCUCCAGCUAACACUGCAUGGGGCAGAGACAAGCCUUACCCCACUGAGCCCUGCCCAAAUUAAAGAUUUAUGAGGAAAAAAAAAUUACUGCUGUUUUAAGCCCAUUUUAACUAAAACAUGACUUUGAUCCUAAAGCACGAGACCCUCCUCUGAACCCUCUGUACCCAUCUAUCAUUGAACUAUGCUAUACUGUGUUACAAGUUAUUUUUUAAUGUGUUUAGAUAUUAUCCUCUUGGAGACAGGUAUUUUGUACUACAUUUGUUGAGUUCUCGCACAGUGACUUUUUAGGCAGUAGAUACUCUAUAAAUAUUUCCUGGUUAAUUAAAUCCAAGACUAUGUGUUCUAUGAGAUAAAACUGCUUCUUAUUGUGCCAGCUCUGCAAACAUGAGAGAGGGUGCAGAGAAGACAUCCUGAAACCCACCCAGACUCUGGGUAGAUAACUGACAUUUAAGAUACUAAAAUAUGUGUAUCAUAGAAAAUGCAUAUAACCACCCAUUCUUCAAUCUUCUAAAGUGCUUAUUUAAUGCUCUUUUGGAAUUUGGUAUCCAAAUCUUGGGAUUUCUUUAAAAAGUCAACCUACAUUAGAGCCUUAUCACUCAACCUAUUUUUUUUAUUAAUGAGUUACAACAGAAAUGAAGUUUGCCAUUAAUGAGCUACACAUAAUCUAUCUGUAAAUAAUAACCACCACUAAUGGGCAAAUUAAUUAGACUUCAGGUUUCUUCUCUUUGUUUUUACACUACUUUGUUUACCCUAAUACGUUUCAUCUAAAUAUCAUUAGACAUAACUUCUGGAAUGGCAGUAUGAGGAGCUCUGAAGACUCACUUCCUAACAAAACAACCUGAACUAGUAAAAACCAAAACACCAACAACUAUUUAAAAUCUCUAUGCAGUGCCUAAGAGAGUACAAUAAAUGAAGAAGCAUUUAUUCAACAAAAUGUAAUAAACUGUGGUAAGAACAGUGAGAGCCUAUGUCACUUGAGUCAUGAUCUACUCCAUCCCUUACCCUUCCCCCCAACUCAGCAUGCUUGAGGUUCUGUUCCAGAGAGGGGUCCCUCUCCCCCAAGCUACCAGUCAAGUGCUAUUUCUCCCUGGGAUGGACAUGUGCCAACAUUUCUCAUCCUCUCCAGCUGCCUGUUGUGAAACUAAUUUCUAAACAAGGGUGACCAAGAGGUCAGGGGAUCCCUUCCUCCCUCUAGCCCCACUCUUAGUCCCACUGGUUCUACUCCAGGCAAAGGUAGCUGAAAAUACUAGAGCCAAUUAUCAUCACCACAGUUUGCUCAUACAGAGGAUAUUCCACACUGGGAGAGGCAAGCUGGGAAGACCAGAGGCUACUGCUCCUGCCUAGUGCCCUGCUCAUUAGAGGAAAAAUGGUGCUCCAAGAGAAGUGGGUCAUUGUCUCUGCUCCCACGCCCAAAGCAAUUUAACUCUGAGAUUUUCUUGCAUAGAGAGAGGCAAAAAGAAGAAAAGAUGUAGAAGCUCUUACCAGACCAACUACAUGUAUUUGGAAUAGAAUGUAAGUUUAAUCCUAAGAUAUUUUCAAAGAACAAUGAUGAUUUGGGGGUAGACAAUUAAGAGGAGGCUGAUAUCUCUAUGAAAGCAACAAGGAAAAACUUUAAGCCAACUAGAUUACCAGAGAAAAUCAGGUAAAGAGAUAACUGCUAAGAUGAGCCCUUCUGGAGUCAGAAAAAACCUCCAAGACUAGCUCUAUAAAAGGUCCCAAAUUAGUUGGAUCAGACUAUGGAGCACUGUAUGUAUAAGGACAUUAUCAAAAACCAUAGAGUAAUCAGCCAGCAGUAAGGAGAGCCUAAUUAAGCUGGAUGUGAUACCAACAGACAAAACGGACUUAGCAGCGAGAUCAGGAAAAUAGCCAAAGAGAACCCUGCUAAAACUGGUUAUCCAAAGGUGACUGUGCCCACGCCCAAGGCUGCAAGUUCUCAAGAAUGACAUCACAGGCCUCAUGCCACAUGGGAAAUUUCACUGAAGUUCUCCAGCCAAGUUACUAAACAAAUAAGCAAAUAACAACAACAAAUCUGAGAGAUGAGAGAUGAGAAAUCAGUAUCCAUAGUUGCUAUAAUAUAUUACCACAAAUGUUCAGUUUUCAGUAACAACAACAAAUUAUGAGACAUGCACAGAUGCAGGCCAGUGUGACCAAUACAAGGGGUAAGGGCAAACAGGCAACAAGGACUGCCUCUAAGAGGGCCCAGAUAACAGACCUAAAACAAGUUUAUAGCAGCCACUAUACUAUGCUCAAAGAACUAAUGGAAACCAUGCUUUCAAAAAUAAGUAUAAUCAUAAUGUCUCAUCAAAUUAGGAAUAAUAUAUAAAUUAUAAAAAUAAACCAAAUGGAAAUUUCCAAGUUAAAAAUCUACUAACAUGAAAAAUUUACUAAAAAGACUCAAAAGCAGAUUUGAACUGGUAGAAGACAGAAUCAAGGAUCUUGAAGAUGGAUUGUAUAACAUGUAUCAACCUAAGUAACAGUGAUACUGAGUAAUGCCUUAGAGAAAUGUAGGACAUCAUAAAGAGCAGCAAUAUACUCAUAAUGAGACUAGGAGAAUGACAGGAGGGGUAGAAGGGAGUAAAAUAUGUGUUUAAUAAAAUAAUGGCUAAAUACUCCCAAAUUUUAUUUUUUUUAAAGUAAUCUAGACAUCCAAGAAACUCAACAUCUUUCAAGAAGGAUAAAUGCAGAAAGAUAUACAACCAGACACUUCAUAACUAAAAUGUUAAAAGACAAAGAGAAAAAUCUUGAAAGCAGUGAGGAAAAGAACUCAUCAAGUACAAGAGAACCCAGAAGAUUAACAGCUGACUUCCCAUCAGAAACAAUGAGACUGGAAGGCAGUGGCAUGAUACAUUUAAAGUGCUGAAAUUUCAAAAAUAGGUCUUCCAAGAAACUUAUAUCCAGAAAAACAAUGUUUCAAAAACGAAAGCAAAAUCAAGACCUUCCCAGAUAAAUAAAACUGAGAGAAUUUGUUGCUCUCACAAUAUCUUAUAAGAAAUACUAAGGGAAGUUCAGGCUGAAAGCAAGUGACCACAGACAGUAAUAUAAAUCUACGUGAAAAAGAAAAGAGCACUGAUAGAGAUAAUAACAUAAUUGUAAAACACAAUAUAAAUGCAUGUUUCUUCUUCUCUCUCUUAGCUUAUUUAAAAAGCAGCUCUGUAGGAGCACCUGGGUGGCUCAGUCGGUUAAGCGUCUGACUUCAGCUCAGGUCAUGAUCUUAUGGUUCGUGAGUUCGAGCCCCG